GCAUUGAACUGUAUAACCCUCUCGCUGCUGUCGUUAUUUACUCUGGGAAGUCAGUCGUAGUGCCUGUGUCCGGUGUACUCUUGUAUAGUUGCUUGUGGGUAAUGCAUUCGGAAUUUCGAGGGAGGAGCUCUCGUUUUAUUCUGGUUUGUGUCUGCUGUAUGUUUGCUUGACAUAGAUGCUGAUAGAACGCAUUUUGUGGUAAAGUUUCCACGUAUUGCUAAACAUAUUGCGUAGUUCAUACCGAAGAAACUCUCUUAAUGAUACAAGAAAAUAGUGUUGUCUUUUUUAAUACUUAACUGCAAAACAUAUUUCGUGCACAUAGCGUUAUAGCUGUGAUGUGAAAUAUUUGUGUAGUCGUUAACUGGUUUAAAAGUUUAUAAAGCUCAAACUGAAAGAAAUAUCUUAAGUGUGCGUUAAAGCAGUGACAGAUUAAAAUGAGAAGAAUAUUGGGCUGUGGUGAAAGCACUUGCAUAAAGGGUACAGGAAUGUUUGGUAAGAAGAAAAAGAAACCUGUAAUUUCGAGUCCAACCAAUUUUCAGCACAGAGUACAUACGGGGUUUGACAGAAAUGAAGGGAAGUUUGUUGGACUUCCUCCCCAGUGGAACAGUCUUAUACAACCUCAGAAAGAUAGACCAAAGCCUAUCAUAGAUUCAUCCACUAUCACUCCUACAGAAAUGACAAAUCUGAAGUCAAAUACAAUUGUUCGUGGGGAAAAUUCUUCUAAACUUCAGAAUUGGCCGUUAUCUGUAACUCGGUCAAACUCACUGAGAAAAAGAAGUCCCCCAGUUCAACACCGACAUCAUCACCCAAAUAUGGUACGGUCUACUCCCAUUCAGGAGUUCGAAGAACCACAACAAAUAUACAUAUCAUCUGCUGAAGGGAAUCUUCCUCCUCAUGCUCGCUACCCAAGUCAUCAUCAUAUUCAUUCUUCUGGCCACCGUCCACUAUCUGGACAUCACCUACCUCGUGAACAGAGGAUCUCUCAACCAGUCAAUGAGUACAGAAAUGUUACUAAUCAUCACCAUCCUCAUUCAUACAGCAACCAUAAGGAUGAUGGACAAAAUUGUUAUAAAAACAAGCAUGUUAAUAAUCCACAAGUCUCAAAUUCAUAUGAACAGAAACAGAUAAGAGGCAAUUUUGAGAUGGAUCAUCAAAUAAAUCAAAAUAUGGAAAAUCUUGAGAGAAAGAGGAAUUGGCAGAUAAACCAACAAAUUAAAGAUCAGGAACGACAUCAUGAUCAACAAAUAGAGUACAGGACGGAACUUUACUCUACUUCGGACAGAUACCCGCAACAUUCAUCCUUAGAACGUACCCGCAUUAAGGAAGAUCAUCACAGAAACACCAGCCACUUACCAAAUCAUAUUCAGCAAGCUCCACCUGGAGUCUCUACAAGUCAAGCAUCAUUAUCGCAUAAGAAAACUGGAAAACACAGAUAUGAAGAUCAGAGAAGUAGUACUAUAAACCCAGCACAUCACAUACUACCCACUAGUAAUGGAGUUAAAAAACAGUCAAUACAACAAGAACCUUCACUUCCCCACUAUCAUAUGGUCAUUUCUCCACAGUCGGAAGAAAGCAAGAAGGCUAAAGUACCGCCCAAGGCUAGACCGGAGACAAACCAGGAAAACACAGAACAAGCCGAGUUUAACCACCAGCAGAGAGUAUCCCACGAACAGUUUCGAGUUGCAUUACAAAUGGUAGUAAAUCGAGGAGAUCCUAGGGAGUUGUAUGUUAACUUUGUGAAAGUUGGAGAAGGCUCAACAGGGAUAGUUUAUUCAGCUAUAGAGAAAAACACGGGUCGUAGAGUGGCCGUGAAACUAAUGGAUUUAACGAAGCAGCAGCGGAGAGAGUUGUUGUUCAAUGAGGUUGUAACCAUGCGGGACUACCACAACUCUAACAUUGUUGAGAUGUUUAGUAGUUACCUGGUUGGAGAUGAAGUGUGGUUGGUGAUGGAGUUCCUGGAAGGUGGAUCUUUAACUGAUAUUGUAACAUAUUCCAGAAUGAAUGAAGAUCAGAUUGCUACUGUCUGCAACCAGUGUCUCAGUGCCCUUGCCUUUCUUCAUGCCCAGGGCAUAAUUCAUAGGGACGUGAAAAGUGAUUCAAUCCUUCUUGCUAGAGAUGGAACAGUUAAACUCUCAGAUUUUGGAUUCUGUGCUCAAGUUUCUUCUGAUAUACCCAAAAGAAAAUCUUUAGUAGGGACACCAUACUGGAUGGCCCCAGAAGUAAUCUCUAGGCUUCCAUAUGGCCCAGAGGUGGAUAUUUGGUCUCUUGGAAUCAUGGUGAUAGAAAUGGUUGAUGGAGAACCUCCCUUCUUCAAUGAACCUCCUCUUACAGCAAUGAAGAGGAUUCGAGACUUACCACCUCCACGAUUGAAAAACAGUCACAAGGUAUCUCCACGCUUACAAGGAUUUAUAGAUAAAAUGCUCAUCAGAGACCCUAGCCAGCGUGCCACAGCAUUUGAACUCUUGCACCAUCCAUUUCUUCGUCAGGCUGGUCCGUCCAGCCAACUUGUCCCUUUAAUGCCUCAAGUUCAUCCACAUCCAUAACCAAGGGUCAGUUCUCCAUAUGACCUGUUUUUCCAAAUACUAUUCAUUUUCAACUGUAAGAAGUAUGAAAACCCAGAACAUAUUUUUUGAAAGAGAGGUGUAUCCAUUGAACGAUCAGUGUGUAUAUAUAUACAAAUAUUUUAUCAUAUUGAUUACACACGUCAUUAUGAUAUCAUUUUAUUUUGUACAAGUAUAUAUAUUUGAAUAUACAUAAAAAAGUAUGUUGAUAUGGCUACUUUGGUAGAUUUAUAACAGAUGAAUUCAAUUUUAUUCAUUACUGGUUAUUUUGGACUAAUCUGUACAUUUAAAUAGUAAAUAUUGUUUUUGAAUUAUUUUCUUUGGUAAAAUAAAUAUCUCUAAAAUUGAUUAAUAACUGUAUAAAGUAUUUAAAAAGUUUAUUAAAAACCUAUAUCAUGUUUAUUCUCAACAUAUUCUCUAGUUUUUCAUAAAUAAUUUAAUAAAAAUAGAUAAAAUUUCAUGACAAAAACAGAAGUAAAGUUGAACAUAUAAUUGACCUUUGGUACAAACUAGAGAUUGAGCAGUCAUCAUUGGUUGUUGAUUGAAAAUUAUGUUAGUCAUGUAGAUGAACCAAAGAAUUUGUUCUAGUUAUGUUGUUAAUUUGUAGCAAGAGCUUGACAAUUUGCAGCAAAGCUUGCUAACUUGUAUUUUUCUCUUAUCUUUUGUGAAAGUAUACAGCUGUAUUCAGGAAAUAUUAAUAAGGAAAACAUUUUCUUGUGGUUGUUUUAUAAUUUCAGUACAGUUUUUUAGUUAUUUAGUUAUCUGAGUGACUUGUAGGACUUAACAACAUGUGCAUGUAAUCAUGAUUCAAAUUUAGUGUUAUAGGAAUGUUGACUUUAGCACUGUUAAAUUUUGUGAAGCUUGAUAUAUUUUUUUUUCUAUGUGUUUUCAAACAUUCCAUUUUGAUAUUUGUUUUUAAAACUUAACUGGCUAUCUCAAGCCUGGCAAUUUUAUUCAUGAAUGUAAAAGUUUGAAAGGUUAUUUUAGUACAUUAACGUUUUGUGGUUUAAUUUCCAUUUAACAGGAAGCUUAACAAAGUUAGUUUAAUCUGUUUGAGUUGUAUUUUUUCUGUUAAGGAUUAAACAUUACUUACUAACAGUAAUAGAAGGCUUAGGUUUCAUGAAAGAGGGAGAACAUGAUGCCUUAUGAAUGCAUGUAUUAUAAUACUCCUUCUUUGUACAUUUUAGGGAUACUUAGUGUAGCUUUACAUGUGUGAAAUGAAUUUUCCAUAUAGGUAGUAUCACUGUAUCCAUUGUCUUUCUGUAUACACUUGAUUUUGCAUGGUAAUACAGGAGUAUAUUGUUUUAUAUGGAAGACAUUAAAUAACUACAAGUGUUUGAUAGAGCUUGGGAACAACUGCAGAUCUUUAGUAUGUAAUAAAAAGCAUUAAGUAAAAGGUUGCUAAUCUAAAGAACAUUUCUAUAUAUUCAAAGUUAAAGUUAUAAUUUGUUAAGUAACAUAAUACUUUUAUAGUGUUUACAUGACCCGGGUUAUCACAGAGACAAAUUUUGUAAAGAAAUCUAUCAGUCUACACAAAAAGUGCUGUAUCAUGGAGAUCAAAUAACUUCUCAGUUUCACAAUUAUUAUAAAAUGAAAUUUCUAUUUUAUCAUUAUACCCAAUCAUUUGCAGUACUUUACAGAAAACAGGUACAGGCUUUUUAGAUUUUCUCUAUAAUAGUAUGGGCUACAGCUGAUUUUUGUUAACUCCAUUGUAAGCGAUUCAAAUGCUCUCAGAUAAAUACCUUAAACUUGAAAUAAUAAAAAUCAGAAAAAAAAUUAUCUGGACAUCUAAAAUGUAAGGCUUUAAAACAGUACCCGUUAUGUCCUAGCCCUAGAUCUCCUAUUUUUACUUUAAGAUAGCUAGAUCAAGUUCAGGUCCCUUCUUUCAGAACAGCCUAACAAAAUGAAGGGAUCACAUCUCAGCCAGGCUGAAGUCAGUGGAAUCCAACAAGUUUGGAUUCAUCAAUGAUGUAUAUCAUGUAGCUGUCUUAGACAGGCUCUGAUAAGCCCACUGGUGUUAUGUAUCUCAAUAAGAUAACGCUGAUUUACCAGAAGGCAUUUGUUCAAAAUAAAGUGUGAAUGUAUACAUAAAACCAGUUUAACACUAAUCAAUAAAAAACAAUUAGUGAAAAAUCCUUUUUCCCUUCUUUGAAAACAAAAUAAACAUGCACAUAGUACCUUCUGUUAGCUAAUAGUUAUAUGAACCUGAAUCCCCUAUUCUUUUUUCCUAUGGUUUUCCAAUCAUCUUCAGUGUAAAUAAAUUAUUUUUAGAAUUCUCAUUUCUUUAGAAAAUUUACAAUAUUAUUUUAACACAAUUCUGCCACAGUAGUGUUUGUAUGCAGUAAAAUGUUAAAAACAUAUUGUCAGUGUUAAAGAUGAUUUAUUUGUAUAUAUUUAACAUACCUAUCAGAACUGUGUAAUUUUCUAAUACCACUGUGUUCUGUACUAGAAACUAACCUUACUUGGUGAUGAUAGAUAGAAUACAUGUCCUUAUUCUUUUACAAUUUCUGUGUCUCCAUGAAUGUGUAAAAUGUCCUGAAAACUCAACCAAUAGUGGUAUAUUAGAUCAUCACUUUUACUUGGAAUGGUUAGUGACAUUCUAAUGUUCAGUAACAAAUAACAUGAUAGUGUUUGACUUUUGAUCAUUUAUUACUUACAUUGCAUUCCAUUUUAUAAAAAUUUUGUUAGAGUUGACUGGUAUGGAGUUAAGGCUUUUAUGAAAUUUGUUAAUGUAAAUCUUCACUAGUGUAUACAUUUGGUGUUAAAUUAGAUAGUGUGGUUACAGAUAUUGUGUAUAAAUCUGUCGUAUUGGAUAUGUGCAAUUUGUGUGUCAUGAAAGUAAGUGUUUUUUUCACGUCAACAUAAGAUAACUGUUACUAGACACGUAGGAGCAAUAAUCAGUAGGUAUAGUUCAGGUUGCUCAUAUUGUGUGAUUUGACAUAUUCUUAAAAAUUAAUGAUGCUAAUUCUACAAUACUUUCUCAAUAAAUGAUCAUGUAUGUUUCAUAUAUUUUGCAAUGUACAACUACUGGUUGACAUGUACUAGUGUAAGGCAAGUUAUGUGUAACAUAGGUGGAUGAUGUAGUAGUGAUUUGUACAGAUCAAAGUUGAAUAGUACUGUUGUGCAUACUUAUUCUUGUGUAUUGUUUUAUUACCAAAGUAUAUAGAAAAUGGUACGUUUUGUUGAUUGCAGCAACAUUUAUAAUUAUUUAAAUUUAUGAAUUGUUAUCUCGUAGCUAAGGUCAGACAUUCUCUGUCUUUAAAAGUGUAUUACAAAUAGUUAUCCUCAGGUAGAAGAGAACCAUGUAUCACAACAAAAAAGAUGCUUAGACUGAUAUAUAUAUGUGUGUGUGUAUAUAAAUAUAUAUAUAUAAACUUUUUUAUUUGUUUUUCAAGUAGCUAACACACUUGUACUUAUGAUUAUGUAACAUUUAUCUAAUGUUACAUAAUCAUUUGAUGUCACUACUGCUUCUUAACAUAAACUGAUUUCAGUAUUUGGGCCUUAAUUUUAUAUAUAUAUUAUCAUAACAGUGGUGUAUUUUUAUCAUAAUUAUAAUCAUUCAGUGCAUAUUUAGAAGAAAAAUUAUGGUGCUUUUAUAGAAAUUGAAGUCUUUUCUUUGCUGUGAAAGAAAGGCUUUAAGUUAUUGAUGUAUCAAAUCAAGUAGGUCAUAAUUUCUGUGUUGAAUAGUUAUCAAAAAACAUCAUUUCUAAGGUACUUGUAUUUUAAUACGUUGUUAUAAGUAAGGCUGUAAAACAAUGGGCAAAGACAUUUUUUUGUAUACAUAGGCAUACAUUUAUAUACAAAUUCCCAAUCAUUUUGUCAAUUAAAGCAGACAUAGAUCUCAAAAACAUUCCACAACAGAAAUGCUUUUUAUUAUGUCAGACAGUUCCAGAUUUAUAUUAUUUCUUUUUUUUUCCCAUGCUUAAUGGGAUUUACACCAAAGCUGAGGUAAAACAUAGAAAAGAACAAUAGAAAUGGUCAGAAUCUGAAAUAGAAAAACAUUCUUGCUCCUUUUGUGCAGAAAUAAUUAAUAGAACCACAAAUGUCAUCUUUUAGUUUACUGAUUUAUUCUUCUUUUUUUUUAAUUAUCUAAUAAUUAUGCUAGCCUCAGUGGGUUUUGUUUCAAACCUUGGUAUGUCUUUUAUGUUGUAAAGACAAUUGUAAGUUUCACAAAUUGACAUUCCUAAGUUUCUGUUGCAAAAGAAGCAGAGUAGUACCUACAGAAAAGGGUUUGAUGCUAGAAAAUUUGAGAGUAGGACCUACAGAGAUCUUGAGGGUAGUACCUCCAAAAAGAGGAAUAUUUGGAAGUUGUGCUUACAAAAAAGGGAUUUAGGAAAGAAAAUUUGGGAGUAGUAUCGCCAGAAAGUGAUUUUAGUACAAAAUUUGUGAGUAGUAAAUCCAGAAAGUGAUUUUUUUUAGGAGAGAAAAUUGGGGAGUAAUGCCUCAAGAAUGGGGUUUGAGAAUAAUGCUUCUGAAGAAUAUGGUAAGAGACCUUCUGUUUAAUGCAUUAAAAACUAUAAAAUAAGUCUGGAAAAUAGACUAUUAGCAACAGAAUAUAUAUAUAUAUAUGUAUAUAUAUUAUUUUAUUUUUUUUAAGAAUGUGACAUGCUUCCAAUAUAUGUGUACCUUGAUAUGUGUUAAGAUUUUAAGCAGCUCCUAACAUUGGUUAGAUUAGUCUAAUUAACAUGUCUCAGCUUCUUGUACUGGUAAAUAUAUUAUUAAUGCAUUGAAAUUCCUUUUUACUAAAGAUAUGUCUGUAUAACCUCUAAUAUUAGGUUAGUUGUUUUCAGACAGUUGUUUAACAAACAAUUCAUUGUCAUCACUCAUAUCAAAGAUUAACAUCAUAGCACUGUUUUUAAGUAUAUUUUUUUUACUUCAUAAUUUCUGAAAACAUUUGUACCUUACAGUAUCACUGGUGUAACUUUAGGGUAAAUCUUCAAUUUGUUUCAGUAUGCAAAUGAAAGUAUUAAAACAGUAAUCUGUGUCUAUUAAAAUGCCUAUUAGUGAAAUAUGCAACUGCCACUGUUUAUGAAUAAUAGGUGUUUAAAAUGGCUAGUUCUGAUUAAUAUCUUACGGGUUUUUGGCAUUCCUGUAACAACGAGAAAAUGCUUUCGCUUGUAUCUUUAGCCUCACCCUGUUUAUGUACUUAUUGACAUCUAGGAUUUAUUCAUAUUAGAAUUAUAGCAGCUGGUGAUCAUUGGUUGAGAAGUGAAACAGCUUAUUCAAAAAACUGUUAGUUUUUUAUAACUUGAGAUACAUUUUCCAGGGAUUUGGAGAAAACUACUCCUAAACACUUCAUUUCAGAAACUUGCAAGUAACCUUUUAACUUUGUAGCAGUUCAUUUUUAAUGACAAGACUUACUAAGACUAUACAUCUGCUUCUGCUUUUUUUUGCUGACAUACAUGUGUAUUACCCAAAAUAAGGAGUUUGAUUUACAAAUGUUUCUGACAUUUGUGAUUAGGCUACAAAAAACAAAUGAGAUUCAACUUCUCGGCCUUUUUAUAAAGUCUUUUAUCUAAAUUACUAAUAAACAUCAUUUCAUAUUCAAAAUAUACUAUAAAUAUAAAUAAGCCAAAAUCAUUAGAAUAUUAAACAUUUUGAAUCAUCUUUACUUUUUACCAGACAAUGUUAAAGUGCCAUCAAAUAGCUUAGUUUUCUACCUUCUAAGAAAAAUUUGUAAUGAAGCUAUACUCUAGAAAAAAGGAUUAAGAACAUACUAAAAUUAAUUUGUUAUAAGCGUUUAUAUGAAUUAUGAUUUGUUGGUAAGUGGUACUUCAUUGUUUUUAUAUGGCUAUGAACUGUAUAAUAUCUAAAACAUACAUAUUUAGAAAUGUAAAGAUUUGUUUCAGUGUGACAGAAUUUUGUAUGACAUUGGUUAUCAACAGUUGAUUUCUAGUAUAUAUAUAUAUUUGUGACUAUCAGUGAGUAGCUUUACAUGUACUACAUCUCCGUCCUUGAAAAAUUGAAAGCAUUAUAUUUUACUUGUUUGUUUCUAAUUUUGUGAAGUAUAAAUAAAAUAUAUUUUAACAGUUUU